rnacentral:rRNA from 1 species
AGCGGCGGAUGGGUGAGUAACACGUGGGGAACCUGCCCCUAAGUCUGGGAUACCAUUUGGAAACAGGUGCUAAUACCGGAUAAUAAAGCAGAUCGCAUGAUCAGCUUUUGAAAGGCGGCGUAAGCUGUCGCUAAGGGAUGGCCCCGCGGGGCGUGAGCUAGUUGGUAAGGUAACGGCUUACCAAGGCGACGAUGCAUAGCCGAGUUGAGAGACUGAUCGGCCACAUUGGGACUGAGACACGGCCCAAACUCCUACGGGAGGCAGCAGUAGGGAAUCUUCCACAAUGGACGCAAGUCUGAUGGAGCAACGCCGCGUGAGUGAAGAAGGUUUUCGGAUCGUAAAGCUCUGUUGUUGGUGAAGAAGGAUAGAGGUAAUAACUGGCCUUUAUUUGACGGUAAUCAACCAGAAAGUCACGGCUAACUACGUGCCAGCAGCCGCGGUAAUACGUAGGUGGCAAGCGUUGUCCGGAUUUAUUGGGCGUAAAGCGAGCGCAGGCGGAAAAAUAAGUCUAAUGUGAAAGCCCUCGGCUUAACCGAGGAACUGCAUCGGAAACUGUUUUUCUUGAGUGCAGAAGAGGAGAGUGGAACUCCAUGUGUAGCGGUGGAAUGCGUAGAUAUAUGGAAGAACACCAGUGGCGAAAGGCGGCUCUCUGGUCUGCAACUGACGCUGAGGCUCGAAAGCAUGGGUAGCGAACAGGAUUAGAUACCCUGGUAGUCCAUGCCGUAACGAUGAGUGCUAAGUGU